rnacentral:pre_miRNA from 1 species
GUUGGGAAGAUGAAGAAAAGGGCAUCUAAGAGCAUUGGGCAUGGGAAAAUAGAGGAAAGCGUGAACUAUGAUUUCCCGCCAGAAUAGGGAGUCAAAUUCUUUUUUUUCCCCAGUGCCUCCCAUGCCUAUUGUUCUUAGGUGUUCCUUCCUCUUCCUAUGAACU